AACCAAAGUUGGCUGACCACCGAAAAAAAGUUAAGUUACCCUAUUUCUUAGAACAAAACGAAAGACAUAGAAUUUAUUUCCGAAGCUAAAAGCAUUUAUGGUUGAUAUAUCUUCAAUUGCCAUGUCCAUUUGCAGCUGUGUAUGGAACUUUCCUCUUAUCUGGACAGAUUAAUAAGCAGUUGGCUGGGCACUGGGCGCACUGGGCAGAGGCACUCACGAUUGACAUUGGAGCUGCAGUGGCGCUCAUUAACUACUUCCACGCCCACCAAGCCGGCUAACCGUUUGCCGCCAGAAUUAAUGAACGAAUUAAAGUUUGCGUGACGACAUGAUGUGAUCCAUGGACCGGCGGGGUGGGAUGGACAGGGACAUUGAUGGUGCUGUGGCGACGACGUCAUCAUAGCCAUCGUCACCAGCAUCGCCAGCAUGGAAAAGUCGAAGGCGGAGCUACAGCACAACAUCACCCCGGCCAAGAAGCAAAUGUCGUGCCAAACAAAUACCUCAUGAGAUCGUCGAGGACAGGGAGCUCAGGAACUGGUUUCUGGUGGCAACCGCAUCGCGACAGUCAGCGAAAACGAGGAGUAAGUGCCAAGGAUUCAGCCCGAAGAUGAGAGCACCUUUGAAGGAGUGAUCAUAAGGAGGUGAUUCUAUAACAGCAAUAAGGAAUAUAUGGGUUUUUAUCUAAAUCUAGUUUUUUGGAACUUUCAUCCUGUCUAUAUCCUUCUAAUAAUCAUUACUCAUUAGAUAUUAUAUUAACUAUAAUUUGCCUCUCUCAACCUCAUAACAAAACGAAUCACUGAACUCAGAGACCUUUCGUGAGGAUAUGAAGACAAAAAGUUGGCAUGAAUGUUUAUGAUACAGUAAGCGGAUGGCGACAAAAACGACUGAAGAUGAUGAAAAACCGGAGGUCUAACACCGCCUGUCAGCCAAGUGGAACGUUA